rnacentral:rRNA from 1 species
AAUGAACGCUGGCGGCGUGCCUAACACAUGCAAGUCGGAUGUGCCGCAAGGUGCAUGGCAGACGGGUGAGUAACGCGUGGGAAAUCUACCUUUUUGUGGGGAAUAACGUUCCGAAAGGAAUGGUAAUACCGCAUGUGAUCAUGGUUUGGGAUAAUCAUGAUGAAAGCCGGGGACCGCAAGGCCUGGCGCAAGAAGAGGAUCCUGCGUCUGAUUAGCUAGUUGGCGGGGUAAUGGCCCACCAAGGCGACGAUCAGUAGCCGGCCUGAGAGGGUGAUCGGCCACACUGGAACUGAGACACGGUCCAGACUCCUACGGGUGGCUG